UACGUAGGGGGCAGGCGUUGUUCGGAAUGACUGGGCGUAAAGGGUGCGUAGGCGGUGUAGCAAGUUAGAAGUGAAGUACCUAGAGCUUAACUCAGGUGCUGCUUCUAAAACUGCUAUACCUGAGUGCAGUAGAGGAAAGUGGAAUUCCUAGUGUAGCGGUGAAAUGCAUAGAUAUCACGCAGAACUCCGAUUGCGAAGGCAGCGUACCAGCAUCCAACUGACGCUGAGGCACGAAAGCGUGGGGAUCAAACAGG
rnacentral:rRNA from 1 species